rnacentral:lncRNA from 12 species
CUGAAUCAGAGCAUGUCAAGUGUCUUUGCUUGCUACUCUUAAAGGUCUUGAUUACAUUAUACAAUAGUUUUAUACCUUGGGCAUUAGGAAUGGAUUUUCAAAACUUUUUUCCUGUGAUUUCCGACUAAUCCUUCUCAGCUUUGCCUGGAACAGCACAUAAUUUACUGGCACUUUGGAUCUGCAGGAGAAAACCAGAAUGUUUCCACCAUCAAAGGUCUCUUGGAGUUGUUGAAAGAAGGCUGGAACAGUCCUGCUUUUUGGACUUUCUUUUCUUAAGGUCUCCAUUGAGUUGAUUUUGGAACGUGUGAAGUGUUUGAGAGGAUUAGAGACAGUAGAAGAAGAGGAAUUCAGAGCAAUGUUUGACUGUAAACAGCACUGAAGAGCUGGCAGACUUUUUGUCCAUCACUGGAUGUGCAUCAGUUUUGACACAGACCAGGAAAGGAUUGGUGCAGCAAAAGUUUUGGAGCAGGUCAAUUCCUUAUUUCGUUGAAUUGAAACUGUGGGACUUCUCAUCUGGGACUUGUUCUGCUUCUG